GCUCUUGUGGCCUAAUGGAUAAGACGUUGGCCUCCGGAGACAAAAAAUGUGGGUUCGAGUCCCACCAGGAGCU